UACGUAGGGUGCAAGCGUUGCCCGGAUUUAUUGGGCGUAAAGGGCGCGUAGGCGGCUCGGCACGUCCGUUGUGAAAUCGCCCGGCUCAACUGGGCGGGGUCAGCGGAUACGGUCGAGCUUGAGCAAGCUAGGGGGCAAUGGAAUUCCCGGUGUAGUGGUGGAAUGCGUAGAUAUCGGGAGGAACACCAGUGGCGAAGGCGGCUACCUGGACCAGCACUGACACUGAGGCACGAAAGCGUGGGGAGCAAACAGG
rnacentral:rRNA from 1 species